ACGUAGGACGCAAGCGUUAUCCGGAGUUACUGGGCGUAAAGCGCGGGCAGGCGGUCUUGCCAGUCUGAUGUGAAAUCUCCUCGCUCAACGGGGAGCAGCCAUUGGAAACUACAAGACUGGAGUCUGGCAGAGGUAGGCGGAAUUCCGGGUGGAGUGGUGAAAUGCGUAGAGAUCCGGAGGAACACCAGAGGCGAAGGCGGCCUACUGGGCCAGUACUGACGCUGAGCCGCGAAAGCCAGGGGAGCGAACGGG
rnacentral:rRNA from 1 species